rnacentral:rRNA from 1 species
GGGCGUAAAGGGUGCGUAGCCGGAUAGAUUAGUCAGGUGUUAAAUCCUGGGGCUCAGCCUCAGGCUCGCAUUUGAAACGGUCUAUCUAGAAGAUGUUAGAGGUGAGCAGAACUCACGGUGUAGGGGUGAAAUCCGUUGAUAUCGUGGGGAAUACCAAAUGCGAAGGCAGCUCACUGGGGCAUUCUUGACGCUGAGGCACGAAAGCAUGGGUAGCGAACGGGAUUAGAUACCCCGGUAGUCCAUGCCCUAAACGCUGUCUGCUAGCCAUAGGGGGAAUCGACCCCUCCUGUGGCGUAGGUAACCCGUUAAGCAGACCGCCUGGGUAGUACGAGCGCAAGCUUAAAACUCAAAGGAAUAGACGGGGGCUCGCACAAGCGGUGGAGCGCGUGGCUUAAUUCGUCGCUAAGCGAAAAACCUUACCAAGGCUAGAUAUCAUACUGCACGACCGGGGAAACCCGGUAAGCUUUCGAAGGUGUAUGACAGGUGAUGCAUGGCCGUCGUCAGUUCGUGGCUUGAGCUGUUCCCUUAAGUGGGGAAACGAACGCAACCCUCGUUGCCUGUUACAAGUGUCAGGCGAGACUGCUCCCUCACGGGAGAGGAAGGUGAGGAUGACGCCAGGUCAGCAUGUCCCUUGAUGCCUUGGGCUGCACACACGCUACAAUGGGAUGCACAACGGGACGCAAUACCGCAAGGUGGAGCAAAUCCUUAUAAAACAUCCCCCAGUUCGGAUUGUGGGCUGCAACUCGCCCACAUGAAGUCGGAAUCGCUAGUCAUCGCGGAUCAGCACGCCGCGGUGAAUACGUUCCCGAGCCUUGUACUCACCGCCCGUCAAGUCAGGGGAGUCGGGAGUGCCCGAAGUCCG